CUACGGGCCGCUCCAGGCGAGAAAACUUUGCAAUGUGCGAAAGCACGACAAGGUUAAUCCGAGUGGUUUGUGCUAAACGAACCUUUUGACAGUCCUAGAAACACUGUUGAAUAAGGGGUGGGCAAGUUCUGGUGUCAGCCGCCGCGGUAAAACCAGCACCUCAAGUGGUCAGGAUGAUUAUUGGGCCUAAAGCAUCCGUAGCCGGCUCUGUAAGUUUUCGGUUAAAUCUGUACGCUCAACGUACAGGCUGCCGGGAAUACUGCAGAGCUAGGGAGUGGGAGAGGUAGACGGUACUCGGUAGGAAGGGGUAAAAUCCUUUGAUCUAUUGACGACCACCUGUGGCGAAGGCGGUCUACCAGAACACGUCCGACGGUGAGGGAUGAAAGCUGGGGGAGCAAACCGGAUUAGAUACCCUGGUAGUC
rnacentral:rRNA from 1 species